ACAUUUAUGCCAGAGAAAUGAAGACUUAUCUUGACAUGAAAAUGAAUGGACGUUUAUUUGUAAUAGCCAAACCUGGAAACAAUCCAAGUGUCCUUCAACAGAUAAUCCAAGACGGAGGAGAAGCAUCUCCAUGGCACCUCACUCUGAUUUGCGAGGAUUUGGCCAGAGAAACUGUUCUCAAGAGUGUGAAUUAGGUGGCAGCUACUAUUUUAUGGUACCUCGCUAUCCACUUUGUAAGAGUCUCCGAGAGCAGAGGGAGCACAUCCCCUGACACCUCGCACAUGACAGUUGCUUCAUCAGUGCUGGUUGUGCUCCUGAGAACUCAGCAUGGAGAGAGGCCUAGUCCCCGCUCCCCUGCUCCCAAUUGCUCUGUGACUCAUUCUCACGGCUCGCCCUUCAGGUUCUCGUUCUUGAAUUUCUCCUGCUCCCUCCCACUCCCAGUCCUUUGCCAUGUCUCCCCUGUGCCUGGAACACUUUUUGAUGCAGGUCACCUCCAGGACUCUGCCACUUUCAAGUUGAGUGUUCCAGGUAGGUCACUGAACCCCUCUGAGUUUCAGUGUCUUUAUCUGUAAAGAUAAAAACUAGACAUAACCUUUGGCUGACUGGGAGAGUUGGGAUUGGAUAAGGCAAGUACUGAGUCCAAGGCCUGGCUCUGAGUCCCUGCCCCAGGGACAGCAGCUCCUGUGAUUUUGGUUCAUCAUGGUAGGUCCCUCCUUCUCUCUCUCUUCUUGGGAACUGCCACCAUCCUUUCUGUUCUUUAACCUGCUUCUCCGCCAAUAAAGGCAGAGUGGAACACUCUCUUCCUGGCUCCUAUUUCCUCGCUGCCUCCAAAGACAAGCCUGUCACCUCCCCACCCCGCCUGCCCACAUCUUUGUUUUACUAAAUGAAGGAAUAAUUAUAAAAAUUUUAGAACUUCAUCAGGUCCUACAAGCAUACACCUGAAUGAUAACUUCCCUGUUGGGAUAAUAGCUAGAAACUCUGUUGGGUGUUUGCCUCUUGCUCGAAUUCCUUAUUUUAUUUUAUUUUGAGCAAAAACACACAUUUAUUUACUAACCAAAGGCUGAUCCUAAUCUAAGCCAACACUUUAAAAUAGCUGCAUGUAAAAUAUUUGUGAUGAAGAUAAUUAAACACAGUAAUGAAAAAAAUAAAAACAAAAACAAG
rnacentral:lncRNA from 1 species